AUUGAACGCUGGCGGCAGGCCUAACACAUGCAAGUCGAACGGUAACAGGAAGCAGCUUGCUGCUUUGCUGACGAGUGGCGGACGGGUGAGUAAUGUCUGGGAAACUGCCCGAUGGAGGGGGAUAACUACUGGAAACGGUAGCUAAUACCGCAUAACGUCGCAAGACCAAAGAGGGGGACCUUAGGGCCUCUUGCCAUCGGAUGUGCCCAGAUGGGAUUAGCUAGUAGGUGGGGUAACGGCUCACCUAGGCGACGGUCCCUAGCUGGUCUGAGAGGAUGACCAGCCACACUGGAACUGAGACACGGUCCAGACUCCUACGGGAGGCAGCAGUGGGGAAUAUUGCACAAUGGGCGCAAGCCUGAUGCAGCCAUGCCGCGUGUAUGAAGAAGGCCUUCGGGUUGUAAAGUACUUUCAGCGGGGAGGAAGGGAGUAAAGUUAAUACCUUUGCUCAUUGACGUUACCCGCAGAAGAAGCACCGGCUAACUCCGUG
rnacentral:rRNA from 1 species